rnacentral:rRNA from 1 species
GACGAACGCUGGCGGCGUGCUUAACACAUGCAAGUCGAACGGAAAGGCCCUGCUUUUGUGGGGUGCUCGAGUGGCGAACGGGUGAGUAACACGUGAGUAACCUGCCCUUGACUUUGGGAUAACUUCAGGAAACUGGGGCUAAUACCGGAUAGGAGCUCCUGCUGCAUGGUGGGGGUUGGAAAGUUUCGGCGGUUGGGGAUGGACUCGCGGCUUAUCAGCUUGUUGGUGGGGUAGUGGCUUACCAAGGCUUUGACGGGUAGCCGGCCUGAGAGGGUGACCGGCCACAUUGGGACUGAGAUACGGCCCAGACGCCUACGGGAGGUAGCAGUGGGGAAUAUUGCACAAUGGGCGGAAGCCUGAUGCAGCAACGCCGCGUGCGGGAUGACGGCCUUCGGGUUGUAAACCGCUUUCGCCUGUGACGAAGCGUGAGUGACGGUAAUGGGUAAAGAAGCACCGGCUAACUACGUG